rnacentral:rRNA from 1 species
CCUACGGGAGGCAGCAGUGGGGGAUAUUGCACAAUGGGGGAAACCCUGAUGCAGCGACGCCGCGUGGGUGAAGAAGCGCCUCGGCGCGUAAAGCUCUGUCAGCAGGGAAGAAAAUGACGGUACCUGAAGAAGAAGCCCCGGCUAACUACGUGCCAGCAGCCGCGGUAAGACGUAGGGGGCAAGCGUUAUCCGGAUUUACUGGGUGUAAAGGGGGCGCAGACGGUGAUGCAAGCCAGGAGUGAAAGCCCGGGGCCCAACCCCGGGACUGCAUUUGAAACUGGGAGGCUAGAGUGCAGGAGGGGCAGGCGGAAUUCCUGGUGUAGCGGUGAAAUGCGUAGAUAUCAGGAGGAACACCAGUGGCGAAGGCGGCUUUCUGGACUGCAACUGACGUUGAGGCUCGAAAGCGUGGGGAGCAAACAGGAUUAGAUACCCGAGUAGUC